rnacentral:rRNA from 1 species
UCUUGAAGAAAUAGGGGUAUGCACCUGAUCUCAUCUGAUCUCGGAAGCUAAGCAGGGUCGGGCCUGGUUAGCACUUGGAUGGAGAAAACACAGGGGUAAGCACAGCAUUCAUGAA